AUCAGCUUGAGCACCCCAAAGCCCCUCCCCACAUGCAUGUGUGUACAUACUUGGAAAAACUUAGUCUAAGAUUUAUGAUAUUCACCCAAGCAAGAGUAGUGGCACAAUAAUAACCCUUAUGGAGAAGACUGAAGAAGAUGAGACAAGCAAUAUCACCUGGCACCCUUUUGGUGAGCAAGCUAAUAUUUGGCAUGGCUCAAGAGCAAGCCUGGGAACCCCCAAAACAGUGAAACCUGCUGAAAUAAUGAGGAUCCUGCUGACAUAACGGGGAUCGUGUUUGAUGCACAUCCAUUCUGCAGCACAUCCAGGGGAAGUUAACAUUUAAAUUCAAGAAACACUUAUGUAAAGCAACCAGACAUAUGCCGAAUGCUUCUUGAAUUAUUUAGUAAAAUUCUAAUUAUCUAGAUAGUAUGCAUAAAAUGGACAAUUUGUAUUUAAAAUUUCAAGCUUAUAUCCUUGGCUAUAUAAUUGUACAUGAUUUUCCCCCAGAGCUAGAAAGAGAAUCUUUAAUGUAUGAUAAUUACAUUUGAAGAAGAAUUAAAAAACACAUGUAAUUUAAAUAAAAUCAAUAAAAAGAGCUGUCAAAUAUCUACUUGAGCUCAUUUCAUGGAAAUCUUCUAAAGUUGUGCUCAACAUUUCUUUCUUCUUUUCAGAGUGUAAGCAGAAUAUUUCUCUCACUUUAGAAAGAGGCCCUGAACUUACUAACUAUUCCUCUAGAACCAUGCACCAUUUCUUUGUCCAACCCUGACAAGGCUCAUUGUAUUUCCCAGUUUUCUUCAUUUGGAUUAGCUAGAACUGGGUUGUUGACUCUGUUCAGAGAAAUAAGUGAAGUCAUACAAUAAGGGAACCUUUGUAACUGGUCUCUCUUAACACACUUUUCAAAAAUCUUCACAUGUUCUGUGUCUGUUCUUCACUUGUACAGCUAAACAAUUAAUUGUAAGGCUAAAAUAUUAUUUUAUUUGUCAAAGCAUCAAUGUAUAAGUACA
rnacentral:lncRNA from 1 species